rnacentral:rRNA from 1 species
AUUGAACGCUGGCGGCAGGCCUAACACAUGCAAGUCGAGCGGAUGAGAGGAGCUUGCUCUUUGAUUUAGCGGCGGACGGGUGAGUAAUGCCUAGGAAUCUGCCUGGUAGUGGGGGACAACGUUUCGAAAGGAACGCUAAUACCGCAUACGUCCUACGGGAGAAAGUGGGGGAUCUUCGGACCUCACGCUAUCAGAUGAGCCUAGGUCGGAUUAGCUAGUUGGUGAGGUAAUGGCUCACCAAGGCGACGAUCCGUAACUGGUCUGAGAGGAUGAUCAGUCAAACUGGAACUGGGACACGGUCCAGACUCCUACGGGAGGCAGCAGUGGGGAAUAUUGGACAAUGGGCGCAAGCCUGAUCCAGCCAUGCCGCGUGUGUGAAGAAGGUCUUCGGAUUGUAAAGCACUUUAAGUUGGGAGGAAGGUCAGUAGCUUAAUACGUUGCUGAUUUGACGUUACCGACAGAAUAAGCACCGGCUAACUCUGUGCCAGCAGCCGCCGUAAAAC